GAGUUGUUGAACGCUCAAGAUCUACAAGCAUUUACAAUAGAACUUGUAUUAGAAACAAGAUGCCUCCAUACUUUGCAAAUGAAGUGAAAGGAAGUAGAACAUGAAAAAUACGAGAGAUUCAAUAAAGUAGGUUCCAAGCAUUCAGAUUUUACCGGACAUAGGUCAUUGACUAUCUCAUCAUAAGAUAUUCUGAAUUUUUGGAAUAUAACC